rnacentral:rRNA from 1 species
GACGAACGCUGGCGGCGUGCUUAACACAUGCAAGUCGAACGGAAAGGCCCUGCUUUUGUGGGGUGCUCGAGUGGCGAACGGGUGAGUAACACGUGAGUAACCUGCCCUUGACUUUGGGAUAACUUCAGGAAACUGGGGCUAAUACCGGAUAGGAGCUCCUGCUGCAUGGUGGGGGUUGGAAAGUUUCGGCGGUUGGGGAUGGACUCGCGGCUUAUCAGCUUGUUGGUGUGGUAGUGGCUUACCAAGGCUUUGACGGGUAGCCGGCCUGAGAGGGUGACCGGCGACAUUGGGACUGAGAUACGGCCCAGACUCCAACGGGAGGCAGCAGGGGGGAAUAUUGCACAAGGGGCGGAAGCCUGAUGAAGAAACGCCGCGUGCGGGAUGACGGCCUUCGGGUUGUAAACCGCUUUAGCCUGUGACGAAGCGUGAGUGACGGUAAUGGGUAAAGAAGCACCGGCUAACUACGUG